GGGACUCUUUUCCAAUUAUGAUUUUUUAUAAUCAGCACAACAAUGGCGACCGGAUGAGACAUUAAAUAUAGUAGAUCUCAUUAAACUAUGGUUAUCAUGUCAAUCAUGUAUGGUUAUGAUUGAAAGAUAUGUCCUUCCCACAGGCUUUAAACCGUCCGAUGCAGGACCGCCAAUCUGCUACAUGUCACUGUCAACGACUUCUCCUGGCCCAAAGUUUUGAUUGAUUGGAAGCC
rnacentral:lncRNA from 1 species